GAUGAACGCUGGCGGCGUGCCUAAUACAUGCAAGUCGAGCGAACAGACGAGGAGCUUGCUCCUCUGACGUUAGCCGCGGACGGGUGAGUAACACGUGGAUAACCUACCUAUAAGACUGGGAUAACUUCGGGAAACCGGAGCUAAUACCGGAUAAUAUAUUGAACCGCAUGGGUCGAUAGUGAAAGACGGUUUUGCUGUCACUUAUCGAUGGAUCCGAGCCGCGUUAGCGAGUUGGUAAGGUAACGGCUUUCCAAGGCAACGAUGCGUAGGCGACGUGAGGGGGGGGUCGGCCACACGGGAACUGAGACACGGUCCAGACUCCUACGGGAGGCCGCAGUAGGGAAUCUUCCGCAAUGGGCGAAAGCCUGACGGAGCAACGCCGCGUGAGUGAUGAAGGUCUUCGGAUCGUAAAACUCUGUUAUUAGGGAAGAACAAAUGUGUAAGUAACUAUGCACGUCUUGACGGUACCUAAUCAGAAAGCCACGGCUAACUACGUG
rnacentral:rRNA from 1 species